UGCAAUAAUCCACGAAACAGCAGUAAAAGC
rnacentral:sRNA from 1 species